CAAAAUUCCACACUCAGGAGAAACAAUGCCAGAGUAUUCUGAGAGUGAAGCCAGAAGGGUCAGCUCUCCAGGCCAGCCACUCCUGAGUCUCAGCCAGCCCCAUGCCCAGAGGCUCCACCUGCACAGCCUCCUCCCCCAGCUUUCUGGUUUCCAGCAGGCAGAUCCACAGCAGAGCACUGGCUUUGUCCUGCUCUCCCCCCAGCAAUCCCGGAA
rnacentral:lncRNA from 1 species